GCUCCUGGCACAAGGACCCUGCGUCUUCUGUCCCCUCCCUCACUCAGACCCUCCCACAGGGUGCCCUCGCCAUCCCAUUGACCUUCAGGCUGUGAGGGUGGCCUUUGGGUUCCCCGCCUUGGCCCCUGGCCACCUGCACGUCCUGCCCCUCCUCCCACUCCCAGGCGCCUCUGGGCCUCCGCUCAGGCCGUCAAACCCAGCUCCACCAGGCCCCGGCCGUGUGCCCUUGGACAAGUGCCGUCUCCAGAGCCUCAGCCCCCUGUUUGCAAGAGCUUGUGAGCUAAAGCGUGCCAGGCCCUGAGUGCGAGGCUGGGAUGAACUGGCAUUCCUGCUGGCUCUGGCCUCUGGGACAGCACCUCCUCCAGCUCACUGCCCUCCACCCUUCCAGCUACAGCUCCCUCCGGUGCCCCAGAACCGCCCGGCACUCCGGGGCUCCCAGGUUCAUCUGGGCAUGACUCCGCCCUCCCGACAGAGCCCUCUGCACACCCCCUCCCCACCCUGGCCCAUCGCAGCUCUUCACGAAGACGCUUCAUGGAAUGGGUGAUUUUCCUAAGCACUUUUCUUUCCAUGAUCUCAUUUGGUCCUCACAGCACCUGGAGGAGGGCAGACAGGCUGUUGCUCCAUUUUACAGAUUUUCCAGACCAGGCUUUCUGAGAGGCUGUUAAUGAGCCAAACCAUUCUGCUAACCGUCGUUUUCAGAAGGGCCACCCGGCUCACGGUUCUCUUUAUUCAGGCAAAGCCAUCAAGACCCCGGACCCGGACCUCUCUGGAUCUGCAUCCUCCCCCUAGUAAAAUGGGAGACACACCGCUAUCCAGACAACUGGGAUUCCUGGACCAGACUUUUCUUUUGAGCUCCUGGCAGCCUCCAGUCAGCUUUCUGUCUCUAUGGACUGGCCUGUCCUAGACAUUCCUUAUCAAUGGAGUCACACAGUAUGUGGUCAUUUCGUCUGGCUUCUUUCACUUAGCACCAUGGCAUCAGGGUUCAUCCACAUUGUAUAACCUGGAUCGGU